rnacentral:tRNA from 1 species
GAGGGUGCAGCUCAGUGGUAGAGCGUGUGCUUAGCAUGCACGAGGUCCUGGGUUCAAUCCCCAGUACCUCUG